ACGCUGGCGGCAUGCCUAACACAUGCAAGUCGAACGGACAUAUACCUUCGGGUAUAUGUUAGUGGCGGACGGGCGAGUAACGCGUGAGUAACCUGCCCUUCAGUGGGGAACAACGACUGGAAACGGUCGCUAAUACCGCAUAACGUGUCACCACGGCAUCGUGGAGAUACCAAAGGAGCAAUUCGCUGAAGGAUGGACUCGCGUCCGAUUAGCUAGUUGGUGAGGUAACGGCCCACCAAGGCGACGAUCGGUAGCCGAACUGAGAGGUUGAUCGGCCGCAUUGGGACUGAGACACGGCCCAGACUCCUACGGGAGGCAGCAGUGGGGGAUAUUGCACAAUGGGGGAAACCCUGAUGCCAGCAAUGCCGCGUGAGGGAAGAAGGUCUUCGGAUUGUAAACCUAAGUAGUCAGGGACGAAAGAAAUGACGGUACCUGAAGAGUAAGCUCCGGCUAACUACGUGCCAGCAGCGGC
rnacentral:rRNA from 1 species